rnacentral:rRNA from 1 species
CCUACGGGAGGCAGCAGUGAGGAAUAUUGGACAAUGGGCGCAAGCCUGAUCCAGCCAUGCCGCGUGCAGGAUGACGGUCCUAUGGAUUGUAAACUGCUUUUAUACGAGAAGAAACACUCCGACGUGUCGGAGCUUGACGGUAUCGUAAGAAUAAGGAUCGGCUAACUCCGUGCCAGCAGCCGCGGUAAUACGGAGGAUCCAAGCGUUAUCCGGAAUCAUUGGGUUUAAAGGGUCCGUAGGCGGUUUAAUAAGUCAGUGGUGAAAGCCCAUCGCUCAACGGUGGAACGGCCAUUGAUACUGUUAAACUUGAAUUAUUAGGAAGUAACUAGAAUAUGUAGUGUAGCGGUGAAAUGCUUAGAGAUUACAUGGAAUACCAAUUGCGAAGGCAGGUUACUACUAAUUGAUUGACGCUGAUGGACGAAAGCGUGGGUAGCGAACAGGAUUAGAUACCCUGGUAGUCCACGCCGUAAACGAUGGAUACUAGCUGUUGGGAGCAAUCUCAGUGGCUAAGCGAAAGUGAUAAGUAUCCCACCUGGGGAGUACGUUCGCAAGAAUGAAACUCAAAUGAAUUGACGG